UCAGGGCAGAAGCAGGAGAUGCCGCAGGAUUGUUCUUUGCUUGUACUGGCCCAUGCUAUCAUAAAAUGGUAAAGAGCCUGUAUACAGUGGCCUGCUUUAGCUACGUUUUAUCGCGGAAGGUUAUGAUCAAUAAAUACCCUAAAUUAUUUUAAAAGCAUGAUUGUAAACUAGCUAAUCUGAAGUGUGUUGGAUUGAUAAUGUAGUGCGGUGUUUCCUCGAAUUCAUUCUUUGAAUGUAUUUAUAAUAUUAGCAACACAGUACACACAGCUCGAUCGCUUUUUGCAGUCGCAGCAGUCAGGAAUCCGUAUGAGACCUGUAGCAAAACACUUGCAAAAUGUGGAUCAGCUGUUAUUACCGUGUAAAUGUGUUAAUCGAGGCACAAUUGCGACUAAAGGCUAACUUAGCUGGUGGCACCGUCCUAGUAAAAAAAAAAAAUCAUAUUGGAAAUCCCAUAGAAAACAUCUAGUAGGAAAUCCAGCAGAAAAAUCCUGUAGUGUUUUGGAACCUUUCCAGUAGGAUUCCUAUUGGGUUUCCUGCUGGAAUCCAGUAAGAAAUCCAAUUGGAAAGGUUAGAAAACCCUAUAGGAAUUAUAUAUAUACAUUAACAUUUGCAACAUUUACAGCUUCACUCCACUGAAUUAGCAUAUCCUUUGCUGCCAUUCAAUUUUUUAAAAGCAAUAAAUAUUUUUUAAAUUAAAGUGCAAAAAGAUGCAGAACAAAAUGUCAAACCUAAAAGAGAGAGAUUGAGAUGUACACUUAGUAUGUAAACAAAAUACAAUUUAAAAAGUACAGAUUAAAAGUGCAAGAAUAAAGAUAAAUCGAAUUUCGGCACAGAAGAAACAGAAAGGAGCGUCUCCAGAAAUGUGUUUUGCAUGACGUUGGACAAACACGCUGGUGCGAUUGGCUGGUUUGCCUGUGUGUCUCAUUGCAAUCCUGGACACUUUUUCCCCCACAUAUGAUGAGUGUACCUGCGGAUAAGGUCUCGGCGAGUACAAGUGUCGAUUGUAUUAACUUCUCAACCGAGUAAUGAUUAAAUGAUAUAAUCCAAGAAGUUCAGAAGACUGAGAAAACCCUACCCCUCAUCGAUAGGAUGAUGCAGACUACAACAACCCACUUGUGAGAGAUCUCCUUGAGCGCUGGCCGGCUCUACAUUUGGAGUUGCAGGU